rnacentral:lncRNA from 1 species
GUCUGUUUCCCGGCCGUUAUUGAAAUUCUUGACAAUACUUGUAUAUUCUGUAUAUACUGAAUGUUUUACGGAGGGGACCAACCUACUGACUCAGGAACCUUGUAUAUUAUAUACCUCGGUUUACAGACGUUUAAUAAACUGGAUCCCUGUUGUGUUCACUUAUCGAUACACUACGAUGGAAUUACGGACCAGUUUAACAUAAACAUGGUAAAUAGAUAGACAGCUGAUAAUCAUAAUUGAUUAAGAAAUAACCUGGAAGAAGAAAUGAGUUAACUAUUGAUUAUAACAGAGACGAGAAUGCCAUCGUGUUUGUUCUGCUAAAAAAAGCAGGAACAUUGGAGUUUAUGGUUAGAUUUUAAAUAUUUAUUGUCUCCAAACUGGGUAAAUUUGAUAUGGUAACACCCCCCCUUUUUUUUAAUAACUCGAGAACCACACAUCGCGCUCGCUUAACAAAGUAACAAUAAGAAAUAAUUAUUGUUAGUUUCAAGAAUAAUUAAUAGUCAAAACUUAUCCCCUCCCCGACAUCAAAGGAAGUUAAAUGUAUUAUCCCAAAAUUAGACCAAAUUAUUAUGAUAUAAGGACGUCUUGACAGGCUAUUAUUUUAUUUUGUUUUGUUGGGGUUUUUUUUGCUUUGACGUCUUCCUCCUGUAUGAAAAAAACAUAAUAGACCCCCCCCUUUUUUCCCCAUAAUAUAGAUUUUUAAAAAGUCAUAAUUAUUUGGACUACCCCUGAAUAUAUUUCAGACAGACUCUUCUCUAAAAAAAUGUAAACAUGAUUUGAGAGAAAUCUUUGGAAUAGUUUUUUAAAUGAUUUAAUUAUUAUGUCAUGUAUAUGGGUCAUUUUCAAAAAAUGUCGAAUUUUCAGUACACCCAUGCUAAAAUUUGUAUUUCUAAUGGAAAUUUCAGUUGUAAUGGUUUAAUUGAAAGCUUGUCGUAUUUGUGAUUCAGAACAUUAAUAAUUAACACACCUUACAUCUAUUUUGAUAAGAUUAAACUGCAUUUUAAGUCCGAUUUUGGGGUAUUUGUGUGCGUACAUUGUCAGAAAAACACAUUUCAAAUGAUUUUUUUCCGAUUUUCUGAUCGCCUUGAUAUCUGCAAAAGGGACUUUUUAAGACCGUUAAUUAUAAUUCUAACGAAAAAUCGUAGCUUCUUUAUCAUUGUAUGUAACAGAUUAUCUACAAACUAAAUUCAAUUAGCGUACAGGAGGUUCAUGUCUAUCCUGUUACCGCUACUUAAAUCAGUCGUUAAAUUAUUCUCCCUAUGAAUGUUGAAUCAGUCAGUGUUAAUUUCAAAAAUGCAAAGUAAUCUUUACAUUUAAAACGCCCCGUUUCUUGAACGACAGUGCAGAGAAAAGCAAUUUCAAGACAUUUAGUGAAAAAAAUAGAGCGUACUUUUUUUCAUGUCUAUGCUGUUACCAACCAUUUUGAUUAAUUACACUAACAGUAUGGUUGUAAAAAGUGCAAUAACGUGUUGGAAACCAAAUUCACAAUAGAAAACCAUAAUCACUUCACCAAAGGGAGUAGUUAUUCACAACAGCAAUCAAAACGAAAGAAAUUUGUCUAUCCUGUUUUGUCUAUCCUGUUACUAUGGUUGCUAUGGUUACAGUAACAGGAUAGACAAUUAUAGACACAAACGUCGUUAAAUUUUUUAUCUUAGCACGUAGGUGGAAAACGAAUGAAAUAUUUCAUUGUUUGAACACAUCUUAAGGUUAUAACGUCUUAAUCUUCCCAAUUAACCAUUUGCAGGUGCAAUACUGAUAUCGGUAACAGGAUAGACAAAAAGGUAACAGGAUAGACUUUUAUAUAGUGAUAUAUCAGAAACGUACGUUCCUGUUACCAAAGAAAUAAAGAGAAAAGUAAAUUAACUUAUGAGGGAUUUACUUGAUGUUGGGUUUAUUUGAAAGGGUGAAAAAGGCCGAACAAUAUAAAUUGCUAUCUUAGACUUGCAUUACUGGUGGUAAUUUUUAUAACCUUUGAAAACCAAUUUUUAGAGCCAUUUUUCAGUACAACCUAGAAAAUUGGCAAAUAAUCUAUUAUUUUACAGAAUGAAUAUAUAUAGAAGUUUAUUCUCUUGAAAACCAUCUAAUUGGUAACGUAAAACAAGCUUAACAUUUUAUCUAAACCUUUUCUUAAUAACCCAAAAUUUCUUUUGAAAAUAGUAACAGGAUAGACAAAAUAUUGUACCACCGACCAAAAAAUGUUUCUAGAUAUUCUUGUAUGACAUCAUUAAGAUUGCAUCUUUAAUAUGUUGUUCUUAAAGUACUGUUUGUUUUGAUUUGCUUAUGUAGAGGGUUGUUUGAAUAGUACUUAAUAAAUUUCAAUUUCAAAAUUCGACAUUUUUUGAAAAUGACCCAUAUAAUUAACAUUAAUAUAGUUAUAAACUGAGACUACUAGUAUAACACAUAGUGUUAUAGUAGUCUCAGCUAUAAACUUUCCAUUGUAUUGACCAAUAUGACUAACUCAUAUGCUCUUUCCCAUAAAUGUCACAAUAUCAAUAUAUUACAGUAAAACUGAUAGUUUGAUGACAUUGUUUAAGACUAUUGACCUCAGGUCAGCCUAAACUGAGUUUAAAACUGUAAUUUAUUCAUUAAAACAGUUCAAGACAUGUACCUUCUGAAAUGUGAUUGCAUCAAAAUUAAACCUAAGGCAUAACAUACUUAGUGUGCAGGAAGUGCCACCAAAUAAAUACUGAUUUGUAAAAUUAGAUGAUGAUAUUUGUGAAGUCAAAGAUAUUAUAGCUAGUUAUAACUGGUUUUAGAUAUAAAUCUGAGUAAAAGGUUGAUUUAUAUGUGCUCUUUCAUGUUUAGAUUAUAAUUUAAAUUUAAUCUUUUGAAGUUUUUUUAUAAUAUUAAGACAUUAAAAUCACAAUUAUUUAUUUAUACACAAAAAAUAAUUUUUGUCCUUUUUUAGUUGAAUGACUGUACACAAACAUUAUACACACAUAAUUUUGAUAAUUCUGUAAUGUUUUUUUUUCUAUAGCCCCAGAAUGUGACAAAAGACUUAUUAAUCCAGAUUUACAAAAAAUAGAAAUAGUUCAGCUACCAUAAGACUGCUAUGACAAAAAUUCUGCAGUUUCCAGAAUUUGAGGUAGAGUAUAGUUAGGAAUAGUUUGAUUAUGCAGAUGCUUAGUUUGCCAUAAACAAUUAUGCCCUUGAUACAAAAAGCAGGAAACAAAAAAGUAUGAAAAUAGUUGAAAAAGUAAUCAUUAUUACCUAGUCAUAUACUGUAAAUAGAAAAAGAGAAAAGCACUGGUUAUGAUUUGGUAUUUUUAAUAGCAUUAUCAUUUGUCCAUAACUUGGAAUAUAUACUGGAUUGAGCUUGACAUUUAUUUAAUAUCAUUGACACAUGGUUGCAAGAAAUGAAAGAUGGUAAUUUAAACCUAGCAAUUUUAUUAAGAUUUAAAAAAAAGUUUUUGAUUUGGUAGAAUAUGACUUUCUUUGUUUAAAGCUCGACAUGUAUGGAUUUAGUGAGACUACUGUUAGUUUUUUUAAGUCGUACCUGAAUAACAAAAGGUAUACAUUUGUAAUGUUAACUCUGAACAACAACAUGUAAAAUUUGGUGUUCCCAAUGUUCUAUACCUUGUCCUCUAUUGUUUGUGCUAUUUAUAAAUGACCUUCCCUUAUGCAUUAAAAAUUUGUGAAACAGACCUAUAUCGUUGUAUAUGCUGAUGACACCACUAUUCAUAAAUCAGGGGAAACAUCUAGAAAAUAUAAAUGAUGAUGUUCAAGAAGAUUUAUACAGGGUUGAAGAGUGUGUGUAAAAUGAAUAACAUGUUCAUAGAUGCAAAUGAAACAAAAUGUUUUGAUUACUGGAACAAAGCAGAAACUAUUCAGACUUUUCAACCAAACUUGAUAAUAAUUAAAGUAUUACAAAAUUCUUCAUGUGAAAAAUAUUAGUUUCAAAAAUUGACAGCCCACUAAGUAACUGGAGAAAUCAAAUUGACCAAGGUUGUGCUAAUAUAUCAUCCAGAAUAUACCAUCUUUCUUAAAUACAUUUUUUUUUAUAUAACUGCAAGAAAACAUAAUACAAUGGGUGUUCUGCCCCUAAUUGACUACUGUUGUAUUAUUUGGGAUGAAUGUAAAAAUUGAGGGAUAACAAGAAUUUUAAAAAUCCAAAAAAAGGGCAGCAUGAUAAAUUCUAGAUGCAGAUCCGUUAUCCCUCUUGGUAUAUAGGAGCACUAUAUUCUAUGUUAACCCCGACAGUAGGUAUAAACAAAUACUGUUGAUAGACGGUAUAUAGGAGCACUAUAUUCCAUGUUAACCACCGACGAGGUAUAGACAAAUACUGGUUGAUAGACGUAUAUAGGAGCACUAUAUUGUAUGUUAACCACUGACGGUAGGUAUAGCCAAAUACUGUUGAUAGACGGUAUAUAGGAGCACUAUAUCUUAUGUUAACCACCGACGGUAGGUAUAAGACAAAUACUGGUGAUAGACGGUAUAUAGGAGCACUAUAUUGUAUGUUAACCACCGACGGUAGGUAUAAACAAAUACUGUUGAUAGACGGUAUAUAGGAGCACUAUAUUGUAUGUUAACCACCGACGGUAGGUAUAGACAAAUACUGUUGAUACGGUUAAAGGAGCACUAUAUUGUAUGUUAACCACCGACGGUAGGUAUAGACAAAUAUGUUGAUAGACGGUAUAUAGGAGCACUAUAUUGUAUUUAACUACCGACUAGUAGACAAUACUGUUGAUAGACGUAUAUAGGAGCACUAUAUUGUAUGUUAAACCACCGACGGUAGGUAUAGACAAAUACUGUUGAUAGACGGUAUAUAGGAGCACUAUAUUGUAUGUUAACUACCGACAGUAGGUAUAGACAAAUACUGUUGAUAGACGGUAUAUAGGAGCACUAUAUUGUAUGUUAACUACCGACAGUAGGUAUAGACAAAUACUGUUGAUAGACGGUAUAUAUAGGAGCACUAUAUUGUAUGUUAACCACCGACGGUAGGUAUAGACAAAUACUGUUGAUAGACGGUAUAUAGGAGCACUAUAUUGUAUGUUAACUACCGACAGUAGGUAUAGACAAAUACUGUUGAUAGACGGUAUAUAGGAGCACUAUAUUGUAUGUUAACCACCGACGGUAGGUAUAGACAAAUACUGUUGAUAGACGGUAUAUAGGAGCACUAUAUUGUAUGUUAACUACCGACGGUAGGUAUAGACAAAUACUGUUGAUAGACGGUAUAUAGGAGCACUAUAUUGUAUGUUAACUACCGACGGUAGGUAUAGACAAAUACUGUUGAUAGACGGUAUAUAGGGAGCACUUAUAUUGUAUGUUAACCACCGACGGUAGGUAUAGACAUAUACUGUUGAUAGAUGGUAUAUAGGAGCACUAUAUUGUAUGUUAACUACCGACGGUAGGUAUAGACAAAUACUGUUGAUAGACGGUAUAUAGGAGCACUAUAUUGUAUGUUAACUACCGACAGUAGGUAUAGACAAAUACUGUUGAUAGACGGUAUAUAGGAGGCACUAUAUUGUAUGUUAACCACCGACGGUAGGUAUAGACAAAUACUGUUGAUAGACGGUAUAUACAUGUAGGAGCACUAUAUUGUAUGUUAACCACCGACGGUAGGUAUAGACAAAUACUGUUGAUAGACGGUAUAUAGGAGCACUAUAUUGUAUGUUAACUACCGACAGUAGGUAUAGACAAAUACUGUUGAUAGACGGUAUAUAGGAGCACUAUAUUGUAUGUUAACUACCGACGGUAGGUAUAGACAUAUACUGUUGAUAGAUGGUAUAUAGGAGCACUAUAUUGUAUGUUAACUACCGACAGUAGGUAUAGACAAAUACUGUUGAUAGACGGUAUAUAGGAGCACUAUAUUGUAUGUUAACCACCGACGGUAGGUAUAGACAAAUACUGUUGAUAGACGGUAUAUAGGAGCACUAUAUUGUAUGUUAACCACUGACGGUAGGUAUAGACAAAUACUGUUGAUAGACGGUAUAUAGGAGCACUAUAUUUAUGUUAACCACCGACGGUAGGUAUAGACAAAUACUGGUGAUAGACGGUAUAUAGGAGCAACUACCGACAGUAGGUAUAGACAAAUACUGUUGAUAGACGGUAUCAAAGAGCACUAUAUUGUAUGUUAACCAGCGACGGUAGGUAUAGACAAAUACUGUUGAUAGACGGUAUAUAGGAGCACUAUAUUGUAUGUUAACUACCGACAGUAGGUAUAGACAAAUACUGUUGAUAGACGGUAUAUAUAGGAGCACUAUAUUGUAUGUUAACCACCGACGGUAGGUAUAGACAAAUACUGUUGAUAGAUGGUAUAUAUAUAGGAGCACUAUAUUGUAUGUUAACUACCGACGGUAGGUAUAGACAAAUACUGUUGAUAGACGGUAUAUAGGAGCACUAUAUUGUAUGUUAACUACCGACAGUAGGUAUAGACACAUACUGUUGAUACACGGUAUAUAGGAGCACUAUAUUGUAUGUUAACUACCGACGGUAGGUAUAGACAAAUACUGUUGAUAGACGGUAUAUAGGAGCACUAUAUUGUAUGUUAACUACCGACAGUAGGUAUAGACAAAUACUGUUGAUAGACGGUAUAUAGCGAAUUACAGACAAUAUUGUAGUAGUUACACUUACCGACUAUUGUAUUAGUUAAUGUAUAGACAAAUACUACGUAUAGGAGCACUAUAUUGUAUGUUAACUACGGUAGGUAUAGACAAAUACUGUUGAUAGACGGUAUAUAGGAGCACUAUAUUGUAUGUUAACUACCGACAGGUAGGUAUAGACAAAUACUGUUGAUAGACGGUAUAUAGGAGCACUAUAUUGUAUGUUAACUACCGACAGGUAGGUAUAGACAAAUACUGGUUGAUAGACGGUAUAUAGGAGCACUAUAUUGUAUGUUAACCACCGACGGUAGGUAUAGACAAAAAUACUGUUGAUAGACGGUAUAUAGGAGCACUAUAUUGUAUGUUAACUACCGACAGUAGGUAUAGACAAAUACUGUUGAUAGACGGUAUAUAGGAGCACUAUAUGGUAUUGUAUGUAGAGACAAUACUAUUGGUAUAUGGUACACUAUAUGUAUGUUAACUACGACGGUAGGUAUAGACAAAAUACUGUUGAUAGACGGUAUAUGGAGCACUAUAUUGUAUGUUAACCACCGACGGUAGGUAUAGACAUAUAUACUGUUGAUAGAUGGUAUAUAUAGGAGCACUAUAUUGUAUGUUAACUACCGACAGUAGGUAUAGACAAAUACUGUUGAUAGACGGUAUAUAGGAGCACUAUAUUGUAUGUUAACCACCGACGGUAGGUAUAGACAAAUACUGUGUGAUAGACGGUAUUAUAGGAAGCACUAUAUUGUAUGUUAACCACCGACGGUAGGUAUAGACAAAUACUGUUGAUAGACGGUAUAUAGGAGCACUAUAUUGUAUGUUAACCACCGACGGUAGGUAUAGACAAAUACUGUUGAUAGACGGUGUAGCACUAUAUGUAUGUUACCACCGACGGUAGGUAUAGACAAUACUGUUGAUAGACGGUAUAUAGGAGGACUGUAUUGUAUGUUAAACACCGACGGUAGGUAUAGACAAAUACUGUUGAUACGCGGUAUAUAGGAUAUUGUAUUUUAUGUCAAACAUCGACGAUAGGUAUGGACAAAUCCGACAAAUACUGUAUACAGACAGUGUAUAGAAGUACUGUAUUUGUAUGGUAACACUGACGGUUGGUAUGGACAAUUUCUGUAUCAUGCAUCAAUUGUAAAUAAAGUAUCAUGUGAUUGACACAGGCUCAUUGAAGCCUCUAGUUUUGAUAUUAUUAAUGUGGAGAUCUGGUCUAAUUUAUCAUUUUCUCUAUUACAUGCAUGAUAACUGCAACAAUUGAAUUGAAAUAAAAGUGAUAAUAUUUCUGUUGUAGGUUAUCAAGAUUUAGUGUUUCCAUACAAGUGACAAAGAUUGAACAACAAAAACAUCUCAAACUUU